GACGAACGCUGGCGGCGUGCUUAACACAUGCAAGUCGAACGGUAAGGCCCCAGCUUGCUGGGGUACACGAGUGGCGAACGGGUGAGUAACACGUGGGUGACCUGCCCCGCACUUCGGGAUAAGCCUGGGAAACUGGGUCUAAUACCGGAUAGGACCGCACCGUGAGGGUGUGGUGGAAAGUUUUUCGGUGUGGGAUGGGCCCGCGGCCUAUCAGCUUGGUGGUGGGGUAAUGGCCUACCAAGGCGGCGACGGGUAGCCGGCCUGAGAGGGUGGACGGCCACAUUGGGACUGAGAAACGGACCAGACUCCUACGGGAGGCAGCAGUGAGGAAUAUUGCACAAUGGGCGGAAGCCUGAUGCAGCGACGCCGCGUGGGGGAUGACGGCCUUCGGGUUGUAAACUCCUUUCACCAUCGACGAAGGUUUUCUGACGGUAGAUGGAGAAGAAGCACCGGCUAACUACGUG
rnacentral:rRNA from 1 species